rnacentral:misc_RNA from 1 species
ACGAUCUGAUGAUCGGCGCUC